UACGGGGGGGGUAAGCGUUGUUCGGAAUUACUGGGCGUAAAGGGCUCGUAGGCGGCCAACUAAGUCAGACGUGAAAUCCCUCAGCUUAACUGGGGAACUGCGUCUGAUACUGGAUGGCUUGGAUUCGGGAGAGGAAUGCGGAAUUCCAGGUGUAGCGGUGAAAUGCGUAGAUAUCUGGAGGAACACCGGUGGCGAAGGCGGCAUUCUGGACCGAUAUUGACGCUGAGGCGCGAAAGCUAGGGGAGCAAACGGG
rnacentral:rRNA from 1 species